GUUAUUUACAAGGAAAGUGCGUCGUUGGUUGUUCUAGAGAUACGGAUCUCAGGGUUCCAUUCCAUGAUCGCGCCCAAGUCUCGAUCCGGAGAGGUGGGGGACUGGUGGUCUGACAUCGCACAUGUGGACGCUCAGCUCGGAUCUGACGGGGGAAGAUAGACCACUGCAGAGAAUGCCCCGGAACCCGACCCUUGGACGCGGCCUCUGCUGCCCCGAGGACGGCGUCCUCGUCCUCCCCACUACCUGGGGACAGAGGAUCCGCUUCCUCCCCAGGUGAGGGGGGAGGGCACAUCUGACCCGCCCCUGGUGCGGGGUCUGGCUGGUGGCCUGACCCACCUGCCUCCAGGGGCCACUCCCUCCUCCCGUCAGGCCAUCCUAGGGCACAUGAGGCCAAGACCGUUGUUGACCAGCUGGCCAGUCGGUAGAACAAAGUGGCCCUCAACGUCAGCCUCGUGGGUUGGAGGCCCCACGUCAGAAGUUCGUUUUCUUGGUUUUGAUCUUUGGGGCGGGAGAGGGGAGCGGAGCCGGGAGAAGGGGAGCAGCGGGGAGAGGCAGAGGCGGUGGUGGUUGUUUCCUCCAUGCACGCCGCAGGCCUUUGGUGAGCACCCACUGGGUGCCACGCCGUGGGGGUGCGACGUUUUCCAAGGCUGGCGUCUCAGUGAUCGUGGUUCAACGACCCUCCGCGCGCGGCCUCUCCGCCCUUGAGCGGUCCGCCGGCCCCGCGCGCCCGGAGCUCCUCGCGGGCUUUUGCCCCGGCGCGUCCCCAGCGCGCUCACGCUGCCAGGAGUGUCUGCGAAGUGACCCAAGGGCGGCGCGGGGACGCACAGAUCGCCUGUCCGCUGGGCGCCCUUGCUGGCCGGCUGCUCACUGAUGUCCAAGCGCUGAGUGGAGGUGGCGGAUGAUGGCUGGAGAUCUAGGCUUGGCCCAAAGACCUCAGCGCUGGUCAGCGAAGCCCGGCUCUGUGGAAAGUAACGUUUCAAAGAGGCCUCAAGCUGGCCAAGUGCUGCCCACCGCUGUUUUGAAAAUUUAAUUGGGACCCAGUCGCCAGAGCGUCGCCAGAACCCUGUCUCCGACAAGCUGCUUGGUCAGUCCUAGUUAGAGGGACCGAAUGAGAGAAAGGUGGUUCCUCUCUCUGUACAUUAGCAGUCCAUUCUUCUCCAGUCCGAUGCCUUUGAAACGUCAAGCCUGGGGCUCCCCCGACAUUCGCGGGCUCAGGAGGCCAGGACCUCCACGAGAGGGGCCAGGAGCUUGGGGGAGAGGCAAUGGGCUACUGGGGUUUGCAGUCGGAGUCGGGAUCAUCUCCCUUCGCCCCCAAAUCUGGUCACUCCUUACUGGGCGUGGCCUCCUGGGGCUCCCCUUCUCCACUGAAUUGUUCUAAAAAUAAAAAUACAUACACAAAAAUUGAAAUAAAACUUAAUAGAUGUAUGUGACAGUCAGGUAAAAGAUGAAGAGACAAAUAAGAAACUAAAAAUAGAUCAAAAUAAAUAAUAAAAAUAAACAAAAAACUAAAA